GUGGGGAAUAUUGGACAAUGGGCGAAAGCCUGAUCCAGCCAUGCCGCGUGUGUGAAGAAGGUCUUCGGAUUGUAAAGCACUUUAAGUUGGGAGGAAGGGCAUUAACCUAAUACGUUAGUGUUUUGACGUUACCGACAGAAUAAGCACCGGCUAACUCUGUGCCAGCAGCCGCGGUAAUACAGAGGGUGCAAGCGUUAAUCGGAAUUACUGGGCGUAAAGCGCGCGUAGGUGGUUUGUUAAGUUGGAUGUGAAAUCCCCGGGCUCAACCUGGGAACUGCAUUCAAAACUGACUGACUAGAGUAUGGUAGAGGGUGGUGGAAUUUCCUGUGUAGCGGUGAAAUGCGUAGAUAUAGGAAGGAACACCAGUGGCGAAGGCGACCACCUGGACUAAUACUGACACUGAGGUGCGAAAGCGUGGGGAGCAAACAGG
rnacentral:rRNA from 1 species